GAUGAACGCUGGCGGCGUGCCUAAUACAUGCAAGUCGAGCGAACGGACGAGAAGCUUGCUUCUCUGAUGUUAGCGGCGGACGGGUGUGUAACACGUGGAUAAUCUACCUAUAAGACUGGGAUAACUUCGGGAAACCGGAGCUAAUACCGGAUAAUAUUUUGAACCGCAUGGUUCAAAAGUGAAAGACGGUCUUGCUGUCACUUAUAGCUGGAUCCCGGCUGCAUUAGCUAGUUGGUAAGGUAACGGCUUACCAAGGCAACGAUGCAUAGCAGACCUGAGAGGAUGAUCGGCCACAUUGGAACUGAGACACGGUCCAGACUCCUACGGGAGGCAGCAGUAGGGCAUCUGCCGCAGUGGACGAAAGCCUGACGGAGCAGCGCCGAGUGAGUGAUGAAGAUCCUCGGUUCGUAAAACUCUGUUAUUAGGGGAGAACAUAUGUGUAAGGAACUGUGCACAUCUUGACGGUACCUAAUCAAGAAGCCACGGCUAACUACGUG
rnacentral:rRNA from 1 species